UACGUAGGGUGCAAGCGUUAAUCGGAAUUACUGGGCGUAAAGCGUGCGCAGGCGGUUUUGUAAGUUUGUCGUGAAAGCCCCGGGCUCAACCUGGGAAUUGCGAUGAAGACUGCAAGGCUUGAAUCUGGCAGAGGGGGGUAGAAUUCCACGUGUAGCAGUGAAAUGCGUAGAGAUGUGGAGGAACACCGAUGGCGAAGGCAGCCCCUACGGUGGUAAGAUUGACGCUCAUGCACGAAAGCGUGGGGAGCAAACAGG
rnacentral:rRNA from 1 species